GUACCUACGGGAGGCAGCAGUGGGGAAUAUUGCACAAUGGGGGAAACCCUGAUGCAGCGACGCCGCGUGAGUGAUGAAGUAUUUCGGUAUAUAAAGCUCUAUCAGCAGGGAAGAUAAUGACGGUACCUGACUAAGAAGCUCCGGCUAAAUACGUGCCAGCAGCCGCGGUAAUACGUAUGGAGCAAGCGUUAUCCGGAUUUACUGGGUGUAAAGGGAGCGUAGACGGUUCUGCAAGUCUGAAGUGAAAGCCCGUGGCUUAACCGCGGAACGGCUUUGGAAACUGUGGAACUGGAGUGCUGGAGAGG
rnacentral:rRNA from 1 species